UGGCUAGCCAAUUUGACUUCCCUAAAUGU
rnacentral:piRNA from 1 species